rnacentral:sRNA from 1 species
AUGAUACGAGAAUUCUGAGGGAAGAGUGCAUGGCGGGGCCUGUGGCCCGCGGCUAGUGUGACUCAGGGGAAUCAGGGCCUGGGCGUGGGUUUCUCCUGAAGCCGGGUCUGGUCUCCCACCUUCCCAGCGCUCUCGGCCACCGUUUAUCUCCGUCUCCUAAGGCACGUCACGGCCCCUCUGAAUGCCGUCUUGGAAGCCGAUUUUGCAAAGAGGGGAUACAAGCUUCCAAAGGCCCGCAAAACUGGCACGACCAUCGCUGGGGUGGUCUAUAAGGAUGGCAUAGUUCUUGGAGCAGAUACAAGAGCAACUGAAGGGAUGGUUGUUGCUGACAAGAACUGUUCAAAAAUACAUUUCAUAUCUCCUAAUAUUUAUUGUUGUGGUGCUGGGACAGCUGCAGACACAGACAUGACAACCCAGCUCAUUUCUUCCAACUUGGAGCUCCACUCCCUCUCCACUGGCCGUCUUCCCAGAGUUGUGACAGCCAAUAGAAUGCUGAAGCAGAUGCUUUUCAGGUUCUGGCUCCUUGGCAGCAAUGGCUGUAUUUGAAGAUAAGUUUAGGCCAGACAUGGAGGAGGAAGAAGCCAAGAAGCUGGUGAGCGAAGCCAUCGCAGCUGGCAUCUUCAACGACCUGGGCUCCGGAAGCAACAUUGACCUCUGCGUCAUCAGCAAGAACAAGCUGGAUUUUCUCCGCCCAUACACAGUGCCCAACAAGAAGGGGACCAGGCUUGGCCGGUACAGGUGUGAGAAAGGGACUACUGCAGUCCUCACUGAGAAAAUCACUCCUCUGGAGAUUGAGGUGCUGGAAGAAACAGUCCAAACAAUGGACACUUCCUGAAUGGCAUCAGUGGGUGGCUGGCUGCGGUUCUGGAAGAGGGUGGGCAUUGAUGCCCAGUAAGACAUUCAUGUGGCUAGUGUUUGCUGAAUGAAACUCAAUAAAAAACAAAAACCAAAUUGGGCAGCUG